UUCUUCUCCGCGUGUGGGGGGGAAGAGGGGGGGCGGCGCGGGGGGGAGGCACCCACCCCCAAAAUUAUAUUUUGUUGGGGUGUUAUGUUUCUCCCUCUUCUUUUUGGGGCCCCCCCCCCCGGGGUUUUUUACACUUUUUUUGGUUUUCCGGGGUUCUGUAUUAUUUUGGGGGGGGAAAUUGGGAGGGGGGAUAAAAAAUUUUUCCCCACGGAAAAAACAGUUUUGGCCCCCGGAUUACCCCCAAGGUUUUUUUGGGGGGCCCCUUUUAGAAAAAACUCCAAGCUUUGCCUUCCCAACCGGGUGGGGGGUUUUCCCCAUUGGUUCGAACCUGCCGGCGGGCCCGGGAAUUCCAUUAGGGAUUUUUGGGUCAUUUAGGAGGAAAUAAAAGUCGGAACCAAGUUUUCCGUAGGUGAACCUGCGGAAGGAUCAUUAAAGAAAUUUAAUAAUUUUGAAAAUGGAUUUUUUUGUUUUGGCAAGAGCAUGAGAGCUUUUACUGGGCAAGAAGACAAGAGAUGGAGAGUCCAGCCGGGCCUGCGCUUAAGUGCGCGGUCUUGCUAGGCUUGUAAGUUUCUUUCUUGCUAUUCCAAACGGUGAGAGAUUUCUGUGCUUUUGUUAUAGGACAAUUAAAACCGUUUCAAUACAACACACUGUGGAGUUUUCAUAUCUUUGCAACUUUUUCUUUGGGCAUUCGAGCAAUCGGGGCCCAGAGGUAACAAACACAAACAAUUUUAUCUAUUCAUUAAAUUUUUGUCAAAAACAAGAAUUUUCGUAACUGGAAAUUUUAAAAUAUUAAAAACUUUCAACAACGGAUCUCUUGGUUCUCGCAUCGAUGAAGAACGCAGCGAAAUGCGAUACGUAAUGUGAAUUGCAGAAUUCCGUGAAUCAUCGAAUCUUUGAACGCACAUUGCGCCUCUUGGUAUUCCAGGGGGCAUGCCUGUUUGAGCGUCAUUUCCUUCUCAAACAUUCUGUUUGGUAGUGAGUGAUACUCUUUGGAGUUAACUUGAAAUUGCUGGCCUUUUCAUUGGAUGUUUUUUUUCCAAAGAGAGGUUUCUCUGCGUGCUUGAGGUAUAAUGCAAGUACGGUCGUUUUAGGUUUUACCAACUGCGGCUAAUCUUUUUUUAUACUGAGCGUAUUGGAACGUUAUCGAUAAGAAGAGAGCGUCUAGGCGAACAAUGUUCUUAAAGUUUGACCUCAAAUCAGGUAGGAGUACCCGCUGAACUUAAGCAUAUCAAUAAGCGGAGGAA
rnacentral:rRNA from 1 species